AUAGAUAGAUAGAUAGAUGAUAGAUAGAUAGAUAGAUAGAUGGUAGAUCUAUCAUCUAUCUAUCAUCUAUCUAUCUAUCUAU
rnacentral:miRNA from 1 species